rnacentral:rRNA from 1 species
GACGAACGCUAGCGGCAGGCCUAAUACAUGCAAGUCGAACGGAUCAAGGGGCUUCGGCCUCUUGGUUAGUGGCGCACGGGUGCGUAACGCGUAUGCAACCUACCUUCCACAGGGGGAUAGCCCGGGGAAACCCGGAUUAAUACCGCAUGACACUACUUGAGGGCAUCCGAGGGUAGUCAAAGCUGAGGCGGUGGAAGAUGGGCAUGCGUGCCAUUAGCUAGUUGGCGGGGUAAAGGCCCACCAAGGCGACGAUGGCUAGGGGUUCUGAGAGGAUGGUCCCCCAGACUGGUACUGAGACACGGGCCAGACGCGUAGGGGAGGCAGAAGUAGGGAAUGUUGUGGAAUGGCCGCGAGGCUGACCCAGCCAUGCCGCGUGCAGGAAGAAGGCCUUCUGGGUUGUAAACUGCUGUUGUACGGGAAGAAAACGCCCCUGCGGGGGUAACUUACGGUACCGUACGAAUAAGCACCGGCUAACUCCGUGCCAGCCGCCGCCGUAAUAC